rnacentral:rRNA from 1 species
AGUUUGAUUCUGGCUCAGAUUGAACGCUGGCGGGAUGCUUUACACAUGCAAGUCGAACGGCAGCACGGACUUCGGUCUGGUGGCGAGUGGCGAACGGUGAAAACGGUCGAACGUGCCUAGUAGCGGGGGAUGGAACGCCAAAAAGAAAGUAGCUAAUACCGUAUACGCUCCCCGGGGGAAAGCGGGACCUUCGGGCCUCGCACUAUUAGAGCGCACGGCCGAUAUCGGAUUAGCUUAGUUGGUGGGGUAACGGCUCACCAAGGCGACGAUCCGCAGCUGGUUUGAGAGGACGACCAGCCACACUGGGACUGAGACACGGCCCAGACUCCUACGGGAGGCAGUGGGGAAUUUUGACAAUGGGGAAACCCCUGAUCCAGCCAUCCCGCGUGUGUGCGAUGAAGGCCUCGGGUUGUAAAGCACUUUUGGCAGGAAAGAAACGGCACGGGAUAAUACCCUGCCAGUGCAACUGACGGUACCUGCAGAAUAAGCACCGGCUAACUACGUGCCAGCAGCCGCGGUAAUACGUAGGGUGCAAGCGUUAAUCGGAAUUACUGGGCGUAAAGCGUGCGCAGGCGGUCUGGAAAGAGUAGACAGAAAUCCCAGAGUUUAAUCUUGGAACUGCAUUUUUAACUACCGAGCUAGAGUGUGUCAGAGGGAGGUGGAAUUCCGCGUGUAGCAGUGAAAUGCGUAGAUAUGCGGAGAACACCGAUGGCGAAGGCAGCCUCCUGGGAUAAUGACUACGACGCUCACGCGAAAGUGGGGAGCAAACAGGAUUAGAUACCCUGGUAGUCCACGCCCUAAACGAUGUCAACUAGCUGUUGGGGCCUUCGGGCCUUGGUAGCGCAGCUAACGCGUGUUGACCGUCUGGGGAGUACGGUCGCAAGAUUAAAACUCAAAGGAAUUAAUGGGACCCGCGGCCAAAGCGGUGGAUGAUGUGAUUAAUUCGAUGCAACGCGAAAACCUUACCUAAUUCUUGACAUGUCUGGAAUCCCGAAGAGAUUUGGGAGUGCUCGCAAGAGAACCGGAACACAGGUGCCAGCUGGCUGCUCGCCGCUCGUGUCGUGAGAUGUUGCAUGCGAGUCCGCAACGAGCGCGCAACCUCUUGUCAUUAGUUGCUACGAAAGUAGCACGGAAUGAGACUUGCCGGUGACAAACCGGAGGAAGGUGGGGAUGACGUCAAGUCCUCAUGGCCCUUAUGGGUAGGGCUUCACACGUCAUACAAUGGUCGGGACAGAGGUGGCCAACCCGCGAGGGGAGCCAAUCCCAGAAACCCGAUCGUAGUCCGGAUCGCAGUUCGCAACUCGACUGCGUGAAGUCGGAAUCGCUAGUAACGCGGAUCAGCAUGUCGCGCAGGGCUGUUCCCGGGUUCUGUACACACCGCCCGUCACACCAUGGGAGUGGGUUUCAGAAGUAGUUAGCCUAACCGUAAGGAGGGCGAUUACCACGGUAGGAUUCAUGACUGGGGUGAAGUCGUAACAAGGU